GGGGUUGUGGAUCAGUGGUACAGCACUUGCCUAGCAUGUGUGAGGCACUGGGUUCAAUCCCCAGCACCACA
rnacentral:tRNA from 1 species